UCCCCCUCUCGUCCCACAGCCGCCACCCCCAACCCUCUCGAUCCCCAACCACCCAGCCGGCACCGGCGCCGUCCUCCGUCCUUCGUCCUCUCCCCCAACCCCGGCCGCCGGCAACCCCUCCCCUCCCCUUCUCUCCCAUGGCCGCGGUCGGAUCCGCGCUCCCUCCUCGCUCAUGACCUAGACCUAGCCGCAUGGCACGGCCAUGGGCAUGGCGGCGGCCAGAUCCACCCCCUCCCUCCCAUCAUGAUCCGCUGUCACCCCCACCAUCGACGACCCGCGACAGCGGUAGUGGGCUCGCGAGCCAGAUCAUAAGGACGUCCCCUUCCUCCCGAUCUAAUCGUGCUCCUCUCGAGUGUAUUUGGUUUUGAUCGGCCGGCGACCCCAUGGCGUCCAUCGUGGUGAUCGGCCUGGUGCUGCUCCUCGACAUCCUCGCCUUCGUCCUCGCCAUCGGCACCGAGCGCCGCCGGAGCACGGCGCAACUCGGCGAGGCCGAGCCUGGUGGCAGGCGGUACUGCGUGUACGACAUGGAUGCGUCCACCUGGUAUGGCGUCAGCGCGCUCGCCCUGCUGCUGGUCGGGUAGACCGUCGCCAUGGUGGCGAGCCGGUGCUUCUACUGCGGCCGCGCGCUCUCCCUCGACCGCUGGCGCUUCUUCUCUGGCCUCUUCUUCGUCCCCUGCUGGUCAUUGUUGUGAAGGCCGUCACGGGAAGGCGUGGGGGAUUUGGCACAAGGGCGGUGAUCGAGUCUAUGCUCUCUCCUCCAUGGAAAGACCUAAAUUCAUCUUGAGAGAGAGCACACGAAUGGUUACAUAGUGUGUUUAGGUUGUGGAACUUAUAAUUAGAAGGUUUAGAAAAUGUUAGACGAGCUAACUGUUCACAACCUGAAGUAACUUUAACUUGGUACAAAAUUGGUCUGAUAUUAGUUUCAUAUCACAAAAGUAGGGAGGUUCUUGCUGCUUAUUAGUAUCACCUUUGGAUUAUUAUUGUGUUCGGUUCACCACUAUACUGAUUAUCUUGGCAAGCAUUUGUUUAAUAACUAGAAUACAUUGUCUGCUAUACCUUACCUUACAUGUACAAUGCACAAGGUUAGUUUGCGUACUGUUACAAAUGUCUGUGAGGGUCCUUUGUGCUACUACUAUAACUUCAUUCAUGAAUUCUUCACAUAGAUUUUUCAUCCUGCUAUAAAAUUGCUUGUGUCUGAAUCUGUUUGCCGUUGCUAGUCAGAAGUCGAUUAUUGCUCGUGUGUUCAGGAUUCUAUUUCUGUCAUCUAAAAUGGGAGUGUGACACAUACAGUUUCUGAAUGCUUGUGAUUGGAAUAUUGGAUAUCUGCUGGUUAUAUGUCCUUAUCCAUCAUUGUCUGGUUGUUCUUGCAAGCAUUAUUAGUUAGAUUGUUUAGGUGCCAAAUUCUGCUUCUGGAUUAGUCUAUUGUUCUCCUGAGACCCUCCUUUUUCCUAAAUUGUCUGCUAUUUAGAUGGGCUGCUAUCAUUAUUAUCUUUUAAUGGAUGCUAUCUAGAUUGACAGUUUGUACCUGGGCCCUUCGCGGUGGGAUUUGGACCCUGUGUGUGGGUUAUUGUUAUUGAACUUUGGGCCUGCUCAUGGACUUUUUGGACCUUCAUUUUUGUUGGUGGUUUUGAAUUUGUGUACCUACAGUUCUACAAAAUCGAUGUGACUGAUUGUUUUGUUACUUGGACAACCAGCUUUGCUGGUGUUUUUCGCAGAGCUUUUCUUCUAGUUUGUUGCUGCUCAAUGCUCAGCUUCGUUUCUCAUCCCUGUUAUUUAUGUUGGCUGACAUAACUUGCAUGUUGCUCUUGUGCGACCAGCAUCCUCGUGACAGGGUUUGUCGGAACCACCAUCACCUUAUGGUGCUUCUCUGGCGCCGCCAUCAUUGCCAAGCGCAGGGAGUACCUGUACCUCCGUGGCCUGCCCUCUUCUGGCCUGUCGAUCCUUCGACAUGAAACUGUAUACUAUCUCAAGAACGCAGGUGACAAGUCAGAGGACAAGAAGAAGAGGAAGAGGAGGUCCUGAACAUUUCUCCCGCACAUUGUAGAUACCACCACCGCCGCCUUGUAGGUAUUAAGCUGGCACCGUUCCACCCUUGUGUAUUUGUUUUUGAUUGUAUGUGCACUUGUUGGAUGUGCAGACGUGUAUUUGCUCUUGUGAGUAUUUGACUGGAUGAUUUCUGGAUUUAAUCAGUUAAUUGAGAGAUUUAUUGAUUUUUUUC